rnacentral:rRNA from 1 species
UACGUAGGGACCGAGCGUUGUCCGGAUUCAUUGGGCGUAAAGAGCUCGUAGGCGACUGCUCAAGUCGAAUGUGAAAACUCGAGGCUCAACCUCGAGCCUGCAUUCGAUACGGGCAGACUAGAGUUCGGUAGGGGAGUCUGGAAUUCCUGGUGUAGCGGUGAAAUGCGCAGAUAUCAGGAGGAACACCGGUGGCGAAGGCGGGACUCUGGGCCGAUACUGACGCUGAGGAGCGAAAGCGUGGGGAGCAAACAGG